rnacentral:rRNA from 1 species
UACGUAGGGUGCGAGCGUUGUCCGGAAUUAUUGGGCGUAAUGAGCUUGUAGGCGGUUUGUCGCGUCUGCCGUGAAAAUCCGGGGCUCAACCCCGGACUUGCGGUGGGUACGGGCAGACUAGAGUGUGGUAGGGGAGACUGGAAUUCCUGGUGUAGCGGUGAAAUGCGCAGAUAUCAGGAGGAACACCGAUGGCGAAGGCAGGUCUCUGGGCCACUACUGACGCUGAGAAGCGAAAGCGUGGGGAGCGAACAGG